rnacentral:lncRNA from 1 species
AACACUUUAAAUUUGAAAAUUAGAAUAAAAUUACCUACAUGGUCUAUUAAACGUUGUAAAUGUUAACUAAGAACAUCUUUACCCAGGCGAUGGAAUCGUUUAAGUUAUGAAAUGUUUAUAUUCGUUAAAGUUAUAGCUGUCAAAAUUAUGAGAAAUGGCCAUAAACCAGGACAAUAUGGAAAAGAUUCCAGUAUUCAAAUAAUUUUUAAAUGAGCAGAUGACUUUGCGGAGUUUGAAUGUAAACGACAAAAUCAAAACAAAACGAAUACUGGUAUCGGAAGAUUGUUAGUCGCUUUCUUUCCUUGUGGUAUAUUGCUUUGAUAUAUGCAAAAUAAAACAUGAGGGUUUGGAUGUGGGAAUUAUGUGCAAAUCAUACAGAAUAAUGGACCAAUAAAUAAUAAUAAAAAAAGAAUAAAAAAGACCAAUAUAUAUAAUUGUGAAUAAUUGAAAAAAGGGCAUACACAAUUAUAGGAUAUUAACAUAUACAGGAUAGAGAAUACUGAACCAAAAUAUACAAAAUAUUGAAAAAAGGGUUAAAAAAGUACAGACUUGGUGGAACUUCCAACCACACCCUCAUAAUCAUGUUUACAUAUUUGUAAUUGGCCUUGAGAAUCGAAAUCAAA